UCAUUAGAGGACUGGAACUUUCAGCCCCAUCCCCCAAGCUCCAAGGAGAGAGGAAGGAGGCUAGAGAUGGAGUUCAGUCACCAACGACCAACGAUUUAAUCAGUUGUGCUUAUAUAAUAGAACCUCCAUUAAAAAAAUUCUAAAUGAUGGGAUGUGGAGAGCUUCCUGGUUGGGCCUAUACUGUCUGUGUAUAGAGAAGAGAAACUUGGUAUCUGAAGACAUCAGAAAAAGAGUCUACUCUGAGAAAUCAUCCGUGAUCCCUCCAAGAAAUUUUGCCUUUAAAUGUUCACAGUACCCACUUGUUUAAUUUCUAGCUUAGUUGAUUUCAGAUUCACAAUUUUUUCCUUGUAAAUUAAGGAAGCUUUGGGAGUGCAAACUCUGAACCACUCUGUCAAGGCAGUUUUGAGAAGCCACUCUGCUCAGCCUAGUGCAUUUCACAUGCAUAAGCGUUAAGUAUUGGAAAUGAGGUUGAAGGAAAGAAAUUAAACUGGAUGACUUUCUAGAUCUAUGUAAGUUGGAUCUUAAUGAGACUUUAUGAAAAAUAAUUCCUGGACCACCUGACCUACCUAUAUUCAGUUGUUGGUUUGAAGGAGAGCUGUGCAGAAUGCCUUUCCUUCUGUCGUCAAUAAGAAGAAAGGCUUCGCAGAGGCAUCGCCAGAAGACUUUCUCUGAAGUCUUUUUGGGUAUGAAAACAUGAGUUGAUCUUGUCCAUCUCUGUAUGCUGAGCACAUUGAACAGUGCACUGCAUGGUAAGCUUGCAAAUAUUUGUGGAAGGAAUGAAUGAAAUCUAUAAAGUUAAAAGAGAAAACCAUCACAGCCAGUUUAAAGAGAAGGUGAUGGUUGGUUUAUAAGCACGUUACAGAG